GAUGAACGCUGGCGGCGUGCCUAAUACAUGCAAGUCGAGCGAACGGACGAGAAGCUUGCUUCUCUGAUGUUAGCGGCGGACGGGUGAGUAACACGUGGAUAACCUACCUAUAAGACUGGGAUAACUUCGGGAAACCGGAGCUAAUACCGGAUAAUAUUUUGAACCGCAUGGUUCAAAAGUGAAAGUCGGUCUUGCUGUCACUUAUAGAUGGAUCCGCGCUGCAUUAGCUAGUUGGUAAGGUAACGGCUUACCAAGGCGACGAUGCAUAGCCGACCUGAGAGGGUGAUCGGCCACACUGGAACUGAGACACGGUCCAGACUCCUACGGGAGGCAGCAGUAGGGAAUCGUCCGCAAUGGGCGAAAGCCUGACGGAGCAACGCCGCGUGAGUGAUGAAGGUCUUCGGAUCGUAAAACUCUGUUAUUAGGGAAGAACAUAUGUGUAAGUAACUGUGCACAUCUUGACGGUACCUAAUCAGAAAGCCACGGCUAACUACGUG
rnacentral:rRNA from 1 species